GACAGAGGCCCCGAGCGGUAGGCGGAAUUACUGGGCUUAAAGGGUGCGUAGGCGGGCGUGUAAGUGUCUUGUGAAAGCCCUGGGCUCAACCCAGGAACCGCAGGGCAUACUGCACGUCUCGAAGAAGCUAGAGGCCGGUGGAACGAUCGGUGGAGCGGUGGAAUGCGUAGAGAUCGAUCGGAACGCCAAGGGUGAAGACAACCGGCUGGGGCUUUCUUGACGCUGAGGCACGAAAGCGUGGGGAUCAAACAGG
rnacentral:rRNA from 1 species